UCCUACGGGAGGCAGCAGUAGGGAAUCUUGCGCAAUGGGCGAAAGCCUGACGCAGCGAUGCCGCGUGAGCGAUGAAGGCCUUCGGGUUGUAAAGCUCUGUGGACGGAGACGAAUAAGCUGUAGUUAAUACCUGCAGUGAUGACGGUAUCCAUUUAGCAAGCACCGGCUAACUCUGUGCCAGCAGCCGCGGUAAGACAGAGGGUGCAAACGUUGUUCGGAAUUACUGGGCGUAAAGCGCGUGUAGGCGGCACUAUAGGUCGGAUGUGAAAGCCCGCGGCUCAACCGUGGAAGUGCACCCGAAACCAUAGAGCUAGAGUCUCGGAGAGGAAGGUGGAAUGCUUGGUGUAGAGGUGAAAUUCGUAGAUAUCAAGCGGAACACCGGUGGCGAAGGCGGCCUUCUGGACGAUGACUGACGCUGAGACGCGAAAGCGUGGGUAGCAAACAGGAUUAGAUACCCUGGUAGUCCACGCCGUAAACGAUGAGUGCUAGGUGUCAGAGGUUUUGACCCUUCUGGUGCCGAAGCUAACGCGUAAGCCUCCGCCUG
rnacentral:rRNA from 1 species